GCGGAGGAAAAGAAACCAACAGGGAUUGCCCUAGUAACGGCGAGUGAAGCGGCAACAGCUCAAAUUUGAAAUCUGGCCUUCUGGUCCGAAUUGUAAUUUGUAGAGGAUGCUUUUGGUUAGGUACCUUCCGAGUUCCUUGGAACAGGACGCCUUAGAGGGUGAGAGCCCCGUACGGUUGGAUGCCGAGCCUCUGUAAAGCUCCUUCGACGAGUCGAGUAGUUUGGGAAUGCUGCUCUAAAUGGGAGGUAAAUUUCUUCUAAAGCUAAAUACCGGCCAGAGACCGAUAGCGCACAAGUAGAGUGAUCGAAAGAUGAAAAGCACUUUGAAAAGAGGGUUAAAUAGUACGUGAAAUUGUUGAAAGGGAAGGGCUUAUGACCAGACCUUUGCCUUGCGGAUCAUCCGGUGUUCUCACCGGUGCACUUCGCUUGGUUGAGGCCAGCAUCAGUUUCGGCGGCGGGAUAAAGACUUCAGGAAUGUGACUCCCCCGGGAGUGUUAUAGCCUGUUGUGUAAUACCGCCUCCGGGACUGAGGACCGCGCUUCGGCUAGGAUGCUGGCAUAAUGGUCAUCAGCCACCCGUCUUGAAACACGGACCAAGGAGUCGAACAUUUAUGCGAGUUUUUGGGUGUUAAACCCUCAAGCGUAAUGAAAGUGAACGGAGGUGAGAGCCCGUACGGGUGCAUCAUCGACCGAUCCUGAUGUCUUCGGAUGGAUUUGAGUAAGAGCAUAACUGUUCGGACCCGAAAGAUGGUGAACUAUGCGUGGAUAGGGUGAAGCCAGAGGAAACUCUGGUGGAGGCUCGCAGCGGUUCUGACGUGCAAAUCGAUCGUCAAAUCUGCGCAUGGGGGCGAAAGACUAAUCGAACCAUCUAGUAGCU
rnacentral:rRNA from 1 species